GUCUGCCGAUGCUGCAAUUUCGCUGUCUCUCUGAAUUCCUGCUACGACUGCCUUGGAUGAUAUAACCUAAGAAGCACAAGCUUUGGGAGGGAGGGCUGGGAGUCUGUCGUCGUCGGAGAGCCUAGCUGGCAGGGGCGUUAAUUAGCCUAGCCUGGCAGCUCCCAUCAUCCCAGUCUCAAAGAGAGACAGCUCCCCUGGCACCCCAAGGAGUGGCCUAGAUGUCAGUGUGGCUCUGUGGGGCUCCUGUGGAAAUGUACUAGUGGGUGUUCUCAACAGAUCAGCCCUGUCUGUCUGUGAGCUGUAGGUGAACCCCGCACGGUUUAAUACCCAAGCCUGACCACAUAACAAAACCUUGGAGUACCUCAGGGCUGAAUGGACACGUCGUUUUGAUUAAGCAACAGGGUAUCCAGUGCACCCAUGACAAAGCUUUCGAUAAGAAAGACAGACCUACAGCCAGGUCCAGAAGGCUAGAUUCUGAGCCAUGGCUGUGGGAGGUGGGCUUCAGAGGAGCACCAGAGCAGCCUAUCAGGAUGCUGGGUGUCACCACACCCAGCUAGAGGUCAGAGGUCAGACCUGAGAGAGAGAACCAGAGAGAGAGGAUGGAGACCAGAGGGCGCAGUACCAGGGCAGGGGUUCUGUUCUGGACCCCUGCUCCUCAACACCCCUCUCCCUCCACCUCCAUAGACUCAGACGUGGACUGGUGGGAUGAGGAUGAGGAGGAAGGUGGGGACAGGAAAGAAGAGGAAGAAGAGGACUUCCACAGCCAGAUGGAUGAGAAUGGGAUUAUAGGACUGGAGAACGCCUUGCAGAAUGUGGGUCUGGGAAAAGAGGAGGAGGAGGGAGAGGAGGAGGGAGUGGAGAAUGGAGAGGAUGAUCUGCCCUGGUACUCUGGAGCCUUGGACCCAGAGGGACCCAGGGAGGGGUUCCUGUCCUCCACUAGGGCAGGUGGGAUUGGGCUGGACCAGAGGUUGGAGCAGGUAGACCCAUUGGAGGAGCUGAGUUAUAACCUGAGUGACCUGCAGAACUCUGAGCCUCUGUCCCAGUCUGAGCCACCUGGAGAGGACACACACACCCUGUCAUUCGAUGUCCUGGAGGCCAAGGACAGUGUGGAGAUCUGGAGUGAGGAUGAGGAGCAGCAGCAAAAGUAUGAAGAGGUGCAGAGCUGGUGGUCCACAGGCAGCGGAUGGAGCAUCUCCCAGAGAGAGACAGACAGCUGGACAUGACAGAGGAUGAAAGGAAAGUGGAGGAGGAUGGAGAGGAGGAGGAGGAGGACAGCGAGCCUCAAGCACACACUGAUAUGAUGUCAUGUCCUGUAAUAGCGGGGGCUGGGUCAUGCUGGGAUCAGGGCCAUAGUGUCAGAGGAGAAGAGAGAGAGGUCAAUGCCAUAAGAAGUUACAGUGCCGACCUACAAAUAGAAGAGACUAGUGAACUCUCUGAGAGUGACAACAGAGGGGGGACACGGUUGGUAGUGAGUGACAACAGAGAGGGGACACGGUUGGUAGAGAGUGACAAUAGAGGAGGGACACGGUUGGUAGAGAGUGACAACAGAGGUGGGACACGGUUGGUAGAGAGUGACAACAGAGGGGGGACAUGGUUGGUAGAGAGUGUCACCUGACAAGCCACGAGCCAUGGCUCGAUCCCCUCAGAAAGGCUGGCAUGCACGCUCACAGUCCCCUCCUCACUGCAGCACCCAGGACAGGAGCCUCCGGACCCACAGGGAGAGUCCCAGCCCCAACCCAGGAGCCAUGACCCUGACAUUGACGAGGGCUGGAGCGGGCCACUGACCUACCCCACCCCAGACUUCUCUGUUAUCACUCUCUAAGGUUGGUAGAGAGUGACAACAGAGGGGUGACACUGUUGGUAGAGAGUGACAACAAAGGGAGGACAUUUUUUUAUUUUAUUUAUUUCACCUUUAUUUAACCAGGUAGGCUAGUUGAGAACAAGUUCUCAUUUGCAACUGCGACCUGGCCAAGAUAAAGCAUAGCAGUUAGACACAUACAACACAGAGUUACACAUGGAAUGAACAAAACAUACAGUCAAUAAUACAGUAGAAAAAAAAAAAGAAAAAAAGUCUAUAUACAGUGAGUGCAAAUUAGGUAAAAAAAAGGGAAUUAAGGCAAUAAAUAGGCCAUGGUGGCAAAAGUAAUUACAAUAUGGCAAUUAAACACUGGAAUGGUAGAUGUGCAAAAGAUGAAUGUGCAAGUAGAGAUACUGGGGUGCAAAAGGAGCAGAAUAAAUAAAUAAAUACAGUAUGGGGAUGAGGUAGAUAGAUGGGCUGUAUACAGAUGGGCUAUGAACAGGUGCAGUGAUCUGUGAGCUGCUCUGACAGCUGGUGCUUAAAGCUAGUGAGGGAGAUGGGAAUCUCCAGCUUCAGAGAUUUUUGCAGUUCGUUCCAGUCAUUGGCAGCAGAGAACUGUAAGGAAAGGCGACCAAAGGAGGAAUUGGCUUUGGGGGUGACCAGUGAGAUAUACCUGCUGGAGCGUGUACUACGAGUUGGUGCUGCUAUGGUGACCAGUGAGCUGAGAUAAGGCGGGGCUUUACCUAGCAGAGACUUGUAGAUAACCUGUAGCCAGUGGGUUUGGCGACGAGUAUGAAGUGAGGGCCAGCCAACGAGAGUGUAUAGGUCGCAAUGGUGGGUAGAGAGUGACAACAGAGGGGUGACUUCUCCAAGGUAGAGCCCAGGGUCCGCUUCCCCAUGAACGGCUUCACCCUCCACCCCCCAAGAGCAAAGGCUCCCCCAGAAAGAGGUCUCUGUCAGUGGAGCCCGCCCUGGUGUUCAAGUCCCCUGCUGACAUAGUGAGAGAGGUGCUGCUGAGCAGUACAGACGGACCCCCUCCCCCCUCAACCCCCAAUGGGCCCCACAGGCCCCUAAACUCCACGGUGCCAGAGGACUUCAGAUGCCCACAACAGGCCAGCACUCUGGUACAGCAGCUGCAGGAGGACUACAACAGGCUGCUGACCAAGUAUGCUGAGGCAGAGAACACUAUUGAUCGGAUGCGUCUGGAAGCCAAGGCAGUCUAUAUAAGACCUGAGCCCUAGGACCAUGCCUCAGGACUACCUGGUAUGAUGACUCCUUGCUGUCCCCAGUCCACCUGGCCGUGCUGCUGCUCCAGUUUCAACUGUUCUGCCUGCGGCUAUGGAACCCUGACCUGUUCACCGGACGUGCUUGUUGCACCCUCGAUAACUACUAUGAUUAUUAUUAUUUGACCAUGCUGGUCAUUUAUGAACAUUUUAACAUUUUAACAUCUUGACUAUGUUCUGUUAUAAUAUCCACC
rnacentral:lncRNA from 1 species